UCCGGGAGGGGGUUUUGGGGUGAAGGAACCCCCUUUUUUUUGUCCUCAAACACUCACCCGUAGGUUUGCCGGCGUCAGAGCCCGUUUCCUCUCCCGUUUCCCAAGGUUUUUCAUCCGGCGGUUUCUAAACAGUUGACAAGAAACGCCGCUGAACCCGGCCCGAGGUUCGGGUGGUUUUAAAUCCUUUAAGGAACCGUCAAACUUCUCUGCGACCGCGGAUCGGGAAGCGUUAGCUUGGUCGUCGUUGGGAUUCGCCCGGAUCGGCUGUGCCGAACGCACCGGCGCCGUCCGCCCGCCCGCCGUUUCUCCCGUUACCUUCGGCGUCCGUCAGCGUUUCGAAGUGCUGCUUGAGAACCGGACCCGAAUGACCGAACAUUUUCGCCACGCACUCCCCGGAGUGGAAGUCGACGAGGGCGAUGCUUUUGUCGGAGCAGCUCGUCGCCAGGAAGGUGCCCGAGGGAUCCAACCGCACCUGGGGGAGAGGAGCGGUCCCUAGAGCUCCCGCUAGUUUGCUCCAACCCGACCUUGAACUCUUCCGGGGACGGAACAUCCGUUUCUGGGCACCGCCGCCGACCGCGCCGAGGGCCGCCGCGUGGUGGAAGAAUCACCCCCUUACCUUCAGCAAGGAACCGUCGUCGCCUUGCGAGCCCUUGUAGCAGCACUUGAGCUUCCCGCUGGUCGUGCUGUACACCCUGCGGGAAGAACGGGAGGCGAUCGAGCCUUUUUCAAAUACAUCGACAGCAAAAGGAAGAGUAGGGAAAAUGUGGACCCGGUGCUGAAUGAGGUGGGUGCCUCGGUGACGGAGGAUAGAGAGGAGGCGGAGUUACGGAAUGCCGCCUUUGCUUCAGUCUUUACUGCUGAGGUCGGCCCUCGGGAAUUCCCGGACCCUGGAGGUAGGAGAGGAAGUCUCGCCAAAGGAAGACCUUCCCUUGGUCGAGGAGGAUCGGGUCAGAGAACAUCUAGGCGAUCUCGACAUCCAUAAAUCUAUGGGCCCUGAUGGGAUGCACCCACGAGCGCUCGGGGAGCUGGCGGAUGUUCUUGCCAGGCCGCGCUCGUUCAUCUUUGGAAGGUCUUGGAGAACAGGAGAGGUGUCUGAGGACCGGAGGAAAGCCGAUGUCGCUCCGGUCUUCGAAAAGGGCAAGGAAGGAGGACCCAGGGAACUACAGCCAACCUCACCUCCA